rnacentral:rRNA from 1 species
AGUCGAACGAUUAAAGCUUUUUUCGGAAAGUGUAUAAAGUGGCGUACGGGAGAGUAACACGUAGGUAAUCUACCCUCGGGUGGGGAAUAACUUAGGGAAACUUAAGCUAAUACCGCAUAAUGCAGCGGUUCCGUUUGGAAACAGUUGUUAAAGCAUUUAUGCGCCUGAGGAGGAGCUUGCGGCAGAUUAGCUAGUUGGUAAGGUAACGGCUUACCAAAGCGACAAUCUGUAGCCGGUCUAAGAGGACGGUCGGUCUCACUGACACUGAAUAACGGGUCAGACUCCUACGGGAGGCAGCAGUCGGGAAUUUUGGGCAAUGGGCGAAAGCCUGACCCAGCAACGCCGCGUGAAGGAUGAAGUCCUUCGGGAUGUAAACUUCGAAAUUAUAGGAAGAAUCAAUGACGGUACUAUAAGUAAGCUCCGGCUAACUACGUGCCAGCAGCCGCGGUAAUACGUAGGGGGCAAGCGUUGUUCGGAUUUACUGGGCGUAAAGGGUGCGUAGGUGGCAUGACAAGUCACUUGUGAAAUCUCCGAGCUUAACUCGGAACGGUCAAGUGAUACUG